UGGGGAAUAUUGCACAAUGGGGGAAACCCUGAUGCAGCGACGCCGCGUGAGCGAAGAAGUAUUUCGGUAUGUAAAGCUCUAUCAGCAGGGAAGAAAAUGACGGUACCUGAGUAAGAAGCCCCGGCUAACUACGUGCCAGCAGCCGCGGUAAUACGUAGGGGGCAAGCGUUAUCCGGAUUUACUGGGUGUAAAGGGAGCGUAGACGGAAUGGCAAGUCAGAUGUGAAAGGCAGGGGCUUAACCCCUGGACUGCAUUUGAAACUGUCAAUCUAGAGUGCCGGAGAGGUAAGCGGAAUUCCUAGUGUAGCGGUGAAAUGCGUAGAUAUUAGGAGGAACACCAGUGGCGAAGGCGGCUUACUGGACGGUAACUGACGUUGAGGCUCGAAAGCGUGGGGAGCAAACA
rnacentral:rRNA from 1 species